rnacentral:lncRNA from 1 species
GCGCACGCUGGGCCACUUCCUUUCUCGGCAGCGCCGUAGAGCGCGAGCAGACGGUGCAGCAUGGCGCACAGCGGAGGCCGCGGGCGGCCGAACCCGGCGUGUCCUUGGGCGUUUCCAGGUGCGAAUCCUGCGGUCUGCUUAACCCCGUGUGUGCGGAGAGGGCUUCCUUGUUGGCGGCGUCCGUCUCUAGCCGGGUACGGGGGCCCCAUGGCUCCCGGGUUCGGUGUGGCCCUUGGCCCGCUGUGAGCGGCGGGGCGCGUUCCCAAUGGUCUCCAAAUCUUAACCGAGAUUAGUUAUAAGGCCUGCUCCUCUGGACGCUUCGAAGUGCGGGCACAAGCGGCCGCUUCUGGCGGCAGCUUUCAUCUGGGCCUGCACCCUGGCGGGAGCCCCUUUGUAUCCCCAAGAAAAGCCACCAUGCGGUCUGUUUCAGGCUUCCUAAGUGCAACAAAACCUGCUCAUUUGAAGGUGCUUGAACAAAUAUUUUCUAAACACUUGUCAUGGAGAGUGAUUGAAACAAGCUGCCAGGACUACAUUUGCCAAUAACAAGCAUGUAGGUGGCUGUAGUGGAUGUCCAACUUUGGGAGCUGUGAUGUCUAAAAACCCUUUAUUGUUUUGGGUAAGUUUGCUUAAUCAGUCAUGUAUCUGGAUUCAAUACUGUUUGAUAACACUGAGGGGCUGGGGCCAGUUCGUUUUGAAGAUCAUUAGGGUGAACACCUGGGCCUAGUUUGAGAUGGAAGAAAAAUGAUUUGGGG